GUCUAUGGCCAUGCUACCCUGAACAAGCCCAAUUUUGUCUGAUCUUGGAAGCUAAGCAGGGUAGGGCCUGGUUAGUACUUGGAUGGGAGACCACCUAGGAAGACCAGGUGCUGUAGGUA
rnacentral:rRNA from 1 species